GAUGAACGCUGGUGGCGUGCCUAACACAUGCAAGUCGAGCGAUUCUCUUCGGAGAAGAGCGGCGGACGGGUGCGUAACGCGUGGGUAACCUGCCCUGUACACACGGAUAACAUACCGAAAGGUAUGCUAAUACGAGAUAACAUGCUUUUAUCGCAUGGUAGAAGUAUCAAAGCUUUUGCGGUACAGGAUGGACCCGCGUCUGAUUAGCUAGUUGGUGAGGUAACGGCUCACCAAGGCGACGAUCAGUAGCCGACCUGAGAGGGUGAUCGGCCACAUUGGAACUGAGACACGGUCCAAACUCCUACGGGAGGCAGCAGUGGGGAAUAUUGCACAAUGGGCGAAAGCCUGAUGCAGCAACGCCGCGUGAGCGAUGAAGGCCUUCGGGUCGUAAAGCUCUGUCCUCAAGGAAGAUAAUGACGGUACUUGAGGAGGAAGCCCCGGCUAACUACGUG
rnacentral:rRNA from 1 species